AGCUGGACGAAGUACAGUGGUGUUUAUAACUAAUUGAUCACAACCAGUUACAGAUUCCUUUGUUCCUUCUCCACUCCCACUGCUUCACUUGACAAGCCUUAA
rnacentral:Y_RNA from 1 species